AAUAAACAUUAGUUGAACUCACCUAACUAGACUCAUGUAUCACAAUAGCGUUCAAUGAAAAUUAUCACUGACAAGAUAAUGUAGGAUUCUGUGAUAACGCAUUAUGAUUUAAAUAUAUAACUCAAAAGUGCAGUGUGUUUAGCGUUAGGUCAAAACCUUUUGUUUCUGCUAUAGCAACCAGAAUUUGUUUCAAAAAAACAACAACAAUAACAAAGAGUCGGCCAAAGAACUAACUGUAACAAAAGGGAAAAUCGGUAAUUCAGUAUGAGUUAGACAUUUGGGCAAGAUCCAUUAUUUAUCAUAAAUCUAGGCAAAUGAUAACUCAAAGGUUUGUUUGUUAAAACAUUUUCGGCAAAAAAAAAAAAAACUUCAUGAAUCCAGAUGGAAAGGAAGUUGUGAUAACAACCAGGACAGAUCCUGUCCUACGUCAGAGUGUGGUAUAAUGAAGGCUGACGUAGUAUAGCUAUAAAAGAAAGACCAAACAUUCCUGUCUAGCAGAAUUUAAGAAUCGACUUAGAUACAAAGUAGUCACGUGACUAAUACAGCACAGAGCGUCAGAGAACCAACUUUCAAUACCAGAAUAAUGAUUCUCGUGUUCAAAUCUAUGCGCUUAAUGUUGUUAUUGUCCCUAGCAAGUUUUCUUUGUGCCGAAGAAUACAGGAAAUGCCACUCUCCAUUUUGCCCAACUAACAUUUGUAAGGAAAGAAAUAAACUAUUUUGUCCAUUUGGAAUACAGAUGAUCUGCUCUGAUUUGAUAGGACAAACGACAGAACAUAACCAAUGUUCCAGUAACAGUGAUUGUCCAUGUCCAAAGAUUUGCUGUAGUGCCGGCGAAGGGUGUCCAUAUCGUUGUUACAAUGGGCUAACUUUACCUCCACCGUGAUCAUCACUGUCGUUUUUAAUACUUAUAGAAAUGUUUACAGAAAUGUAGCUUUACUUUUGCUUUAUUUUUUCCUUAUUUGUUUAAUUAAAUGUAACACACAAAGAUUAUUCAAUGAGUUUUCACUACAUGCACUACAGAGUAACUCAAUAGUAAAUUUUAAUAAGAAAUUCGCGCAAAUAAACUGUUUUUACUCGAAGAUGAAGUUGCUAUAAUGUAAUAUUACUUCUGUUUAACUAUAAAGUAUUAAAAAACAACACAUGCUUGCUUCUAUAACAUAAUUUUUGCUUAUCAUAUUUGGUAUAUAAAUACACGUGUUUACUUCAGCUUUGAUGACAAGGAAAGCCACUUUCAGACAAUAAAGUUUGUAGACGGCUUGAAUGGGUUAUAAAGAAAACUAUUACAAGUUUAACAAGGUAACAAAUGUACAACGUUUCGAUAAAGAUUUGUACCUGAUGAUGACAAAACCUUGUAGAAAUGUUUGUACAUAUGUUAGUUGGUUAAACUUGUAAUAGUUUUCUUCAUUACCCAUUCAAGCCGUCUUCAAACUUUGCAUAAUUACUUCAAUGACAAUUUUGUAAUUGUAAUUUCAACUCCUUAAUAAAUGAAUAUUGUUGAGUCACGAAGAAUUUCAUUAUAAAAUUUAUGUUCAACACGUAACUUGUUUUAUGUCAGUUCCAAAUUGCAGCUUUUGUAAUUUUUGUAUCGAUACUAAUAAAUCUUUAGCAACCAUC